rnacentral:rRNA from 1 species
GUAAGUCGGGGCCUAAGGCGAGGUCGAAAGACGUAGUCGAUGGAUAACAGGUUGAAAUUCCUGUACUAUCCUGUAGCAGAACUGUGGGGACACAGGCAGAGAGCGUGAGCCGGGAAUGGAAAGACCGGUACAAGCGAGGUAGGAGAAGAGUUGGCAAAUCCGCUCUUUAAUCUGAAGACGUGAUGUGGACUGAAAAUAAGUAGGGAAGCACGUGAGCUGACUGUCAAGAAAAGCCGCUAUUGUUUGCAGGAUACCCGUACCGUAAACCGACACAGGUGGAUGAGGAGAGAAUCCUAAGGCCGACGGGAGAAGCAUUGUUAAGGAACUCGGCAAAAUGACUCCGUAACUUCGGGAGAAGGAGUGCCAGUAAGAUGGCCGCAGAGAAUUGGCCCAAGCAACAGUUUAGCAAAAACACAGGUCUAUGCAAAACCGAAAGGUGAGGUAUAUGGGCUGACGCCUGCCCGGUGCUGGAAGGUUAAGGGGAGAGGUUAGCGCAAGCGAAGCUUUGAACUUAAGCCCCAGUAAACGGCGGCCGUAACGAUAACGGUCCUAAGGUAGCGAAAUUCCUUGUCGGGUAAGUUCCGACCCGCACGAAAGGCGUAAUGAUUUGGGCACUGUCUCAACAAUGCACCCGGUGAAAUUGAAAUACCAGUGAAGAUGCUGGUUACCUGCGCCAGGACGGAAAGACCCCAUGGAGCUUUACUCCAGCUUGAUACUGGGAUUCGGUAUUGCAUGUACAGGAUAGGUGGGAGGCUAGGAAAUGGUAACGCCAGUUGCCAUGGAGCCAAUGUUGGGAUACCACCCUUGCAGUACUGGGUUUCUAACCAGCAGCCGUGAUCCGGCUGGGGGACAAUGUCAGGUGGGGAGUUUGACUGGGGCGGUCGCCUCCGAAAGGGUAUCGGAGGCGCUCAAAGGUUCCCUCAGAAUGGUUGGAAACCAUUCGAAGAGUGCAAAGGCAGAAGGGAGCUUGACUGCGACACCGACGGGUGGAGCAGGUACGAAAGUAGGACUUAGUGAUCCGGUGGUAUAAAGUGGGAUUGCCAUCGCUCAACGGAUAAAAGCUACCCUGGGAUAACAGGCUUAUCACUCCCAAGAGUUCACAUCGACGGAGUGGUUUGGCACCUCGAUGUCGGCUCAUCGCAUCCUGGGGCUGAAGUAGGUCCCAAGGGUUGGGCUGUUCGCCCAUUAAAGCGGUACGCGAGCUGGGUUCAGAACGUCGUGAGACAGUUCGGUCCCUAUCCGGCGUGGGCGUAAGAUAUUUGAGAGGAGCUGUCCUUAGUACGAGAGGACCGGGAUGGACUGGCCGCUGGUGUAUCUGUUGUCUUACCAAAGGCAUAGCAGAGUAGCCAAGCCGGGAAGGGAUAAACGCUGAAGGCAUCUAAGCGUGAAGCCCCCCUCAAGAUGAGAUAUCUCAUAACGUCAAGUUAGUAAGACCCCUUGAAGACGACGAGGUAGAUAGGGCAGAGGUGGAAGUGUGGUAACACAUGGAGCUGACUGUUACUAAUAGGUCGAGGGCAUAACC